CGCGGCCGGAGCGCAGCCCUGAGGCCCAGGGAGAACGACACAUUGGAUACAGAAGGGAGGUGAUCAUGCACCAUGGCACUGGCCCCCAGAACGUCCAGCAUCAGCUGCAGAGGUCCAGGGCCUGCCCUGGCAGCGAGGGUGAGGAGCAGCCGGCCCACCCCAACCCACCCCCGUACCCCGCAGCUCCCUUCGCUCCCUCAGCAAGCCCGUCGGCACCCCAGUCUCCCAGUUAUCAAAUACAGCAGCUGAUGAAUAGGAGCCCUGCAACCGCGCAGAACGUGAACAUCACCCUGCAGAGCGUGGGCCCUGUCGUCGGGGGAAACCAGCAGAUCACACUGGCCCCACUGCCGCUCCCCAGCCCCACCUCUCCAGGCUUCCAGUUCAGCGCUCAGCCUCGGCGGUUUGAGCAUGGGUCUCCAUCAUACAUUCAGGUCACGUCCCCCUUGUCCCAGCAGGUCCAGACCCAGAGUCCCACGCAGCCCAGUCCCGGGCCGGGGCAGGCCUUGCAGAAUGUGCGUGCAGGUGCCCCUGGCCCUGGGCUGGGCCUCUGCAGCAGCAGCCCUACAGGGGGCUUCGUGGAUGCCAGCGUGCUGGUGAGGCAGAUCAGCUUGAGCCCCUCCAGUGGUGGACACUUUGUGUUUCAGGAUGGGUCAGGGCUCACCCAGAUCGCCCAGGGAGCCCAGGUUCAGCUCCAGCACCCGGGUACGCCCAUCACAGUCCGAGAGCGGAGACCCUCCCAGCCCCACACACAGUCAGGGGGCACCAUCCAC
rnacentral:lncRNA from 1 species